GGAGAUGGAGACAAUCUUCCACUCAUAUGUUGCGGUGACCUUGAAUGUAUUAGAGGGCUCCCAACAGGAGAAACUGAACAUGACGCAUUCUUCGGUGUAUGGACUUCACUGGAAAAGAUGGGGGAAAUUUGUUGCAGGGUCAGAACUCUAGAAACUUUGCAUGGUACUAUGAGAUCACAAGCAUUAAUGCUAAAGCUGAAGGCUUUCUUCCAAAUAUUCAACAUGGGACAAUGAGGAGGGAUAUGUCACAGGACCAGGUCAACAAAAGUAAGUUUUUGAUAUCAAUCUCAUUAGAAUAAUUAAUGCAGGCCAUAAACUUACUAUUGGCUUCUGAACCCACGAAUUAUUCCACCAUGCUUAACUUUUUCAGUUCGAUUAAUAGUGAUUGGCAAUAAAGUUCCUUUUAUGCUGA